rnacentral:lncRNA from 1 species
UGCAUGUCCAUCAGCUGUUAAAUGGCCCUGUCAAUGGCACUGCAUGUCCAUCAGCUGUUAAAUGGCCCUGUCAAUGGCACUGCAUGUCCAUCAGCUGUAAAUGGCCUGUCAUGGCACUGCAGUCAUCAGCUGUUAAUGCCUGUCAUGGCACUCGCUGUCAUCAGCUUAAAUGGCACGCGUCCAUGGCACUGCAUUCCAUCAGCUGUUAAAUGGCCCUGUAUGUCAAUGCACUGUGUCAAUGGCACUGCAUGUCAAUGGCACUGCAUGUCAAUGGCACUGCAUGUCAUGAUGGCAUGUAGGCACUGUCUUAAGGUUCUGAACUCAAGAGUUUGAUAUCACCCAUUUUUCUUACUCGAAUGUCACUUUGAUUUGUCGGCCUUCCGCGGUAAAACCCACUUGGUCAUUGGGUAAUACACAUUAUUUUCUGGAUCUACUACAGUACCUAUCCUUUGUAUUACAUGAUAGAGAUCCGUUUUUGUUGCACCACCACUGCAUCAUGCCGCGAUGGUCAUGUGAGGUGAAAGUGUAUUUUUGGGGAUGUGAGCACUCAGUUGUUUUGACCUGACGGAAGAUCUGUUUGUGAUCGCAGCGUUGUCCAUAAAGACGGAGAUUUGGGAGCUUUAACAGUGUGCGGGCUUUCUGUCUUCUGUACCAGUAAUCUUUUUAUUAGCC